UACGGGGGGGGCAAGCGUUGUUCGGAAUUACUGGGCGUAAAGGGCUCGUAGGCGGCCAACUAAGUCAGACGUGAAAUCCCUCGGCUUAACCGGGGAACUGCGUCUGAUACUGGAUGGCUUGAGUUGGGAGAGGGAUGCGGAAUUCCAGGUGUAGCGGUGAAAUGCGUAGAGAUCCGGAGGAACACCAGCGGCGAAGGCGGCAUCCUGGACUGGUCCUGACACUCAUGAGCGAAAGCGUGGGGAGCGAUCCGG
rnacentral:rRNA from 1 species